UGCGUGUCACUACUGUUCAGUGUCAUUCCUCCUGUCACUUCACUGCAGUUACUGUCAGUGAGUGUCAGAGUGCAGUGCCACAAGUCUGUAGGUGCCUCUGGGUGCCAACGAGGGAGAUUCUCGCUCGUCUCGGCGUCUCAUGUCUCGUUGUCAGUCAGUUCAGGUUGUAAAUGUCUCGUUGUCAGUCAGUUCAGGUUGUAAAUGUCUCGUUGUCAGUCAGUUCAGGUUGUAAAUGUCACGUAGUCAGUCAGUUCAGGUUGUAAAUGUCUCGUUGUCAAUGUUGUAAAUGUCUCGUUGUCAGUCAGUUCAGGUUGUAAAUGUCUCGUUGUCAGUCAGUUCAUGUUGUAAAUGUCUCGUUGUCAGUCAGUUCAGGUUGUAAAUGUCACGUAGUCAGUCAGUUCAGGUUGUAAAUGUCUCGUUGUCAGUCAGUUCAGGUUGUAAAUGUCUCGUUGUCAGUCAGUUCAGGUUGUAAAUGAUUCGUUAUCAGUCAGUUCAGGUUGUCAAUGUCAGUUGUCAGUCAACUAAUGUUGUAAAUGUCUCGUUGACAAUCAGUUCAUGCUGUAAAUGACUCGUAAUUUGUCAUAUGUUAAAAACGUGUCCUAACUGGUCGAUGGAUGUUGAGCUGUAAGUUAAACAGUCAGCUGGUGUAUAACAGUCUCCAGCUAACGAUGCAAAUGUCCCGUUUUUGGUGUCAAUUGAUAUUGUUUAUGUAUCGUAGUCUGUCAGCUGACUCGAUAGAUUCUUAAUCCACUUCCACUGUGUCAGAAGAACGAAACGAGAGAGAGGGGAGGGACUGGGGGGGGGGGGGUACUGUCACCAGGUCGGGCGCAAAGUUCAAGCAAUUCUGACAAGUUAAGGCCUAAACGAGUUCUGUAAAUGUCAGCCAACAGUGGUGGCAGCGAGGGUCUCAUUGUGGAGGUGGGCGGUGAAAAGGUUAUAUGAACUGUCAUUAGCUGCGAGGUCAUUUGUUCGUGUGAGUGCCAUGGAACAACUGCGGCCUCUGAUUGGCUGCUGGUUGGGAUUCUCUCUCUCUCUCUCAGUCUCUGUCUCUCUCUCUGUCUGUCUCUCUCUCUCUCUCUCUCUCUCUCUCUCUCUCUCUCAUCAGCAUUGUACACUUGCAUGGGACU